UACGGGGGGGCAAGCGUGUUCGGAAUUACUGGGCGUAAAGGGCUCGUAGGCGGCCACUAAGUCAGACGUGAAAUCCCUCGGCUUAACCGGGGAACUGCAUCUGAUACUGGAUGGCUUAGAUUGGGAGAGGGAUGCGGAAUUCCAGGUGUAGCGGUGAAAUGCGUAGAUAUCUGGAGGAACACCGGUGGCGAAGGCGGCACCUGGACCAACACUGACGCUGAGGAGCGAAAGCCAGGGGAGCAAA
rnacentral:rRNA from 1 species